rnacentral:rRNA from 1 species
AAUCAACGCUGGCGGCGUGCCUAACACAUGCAAGUCGAACGGGAAAGUGGAGCAAUCCAUGAGUAUAGUGGCGACCGGGUGAGUAACACGUGACUACCUACCCUCGAGUGGGGGAUAACCCCGGGAAACCGGGGCUAAUACCGCAUAACAUCGAGAGAUCAAAGGAGCAAUUCGCUUGAGGAGGGGGUCGCGGCUGAUUAGCUAGUUGGUAGGGUAACGGCCUACCAAGGCGAUGAUCGGUAUCCGGCCUGAGAGGGCGCACGGACACACUGGAACUGAAACACGGUCCAGACUCCUACGGGAGGCAGCAGUGGGGAAUUUUGCGCAAUGGGGGAAACCCUGACGCAGCAACGCCGCGUGGAGGAUGAAGUCCCUUAGGACGUAAACUCCUUUCGACCGGGAAGAUUAUGACGGUACCGGUGGAAGAAGCCCCGGCUAACUUCGUGCCAGCCGCCGCAGUAAAAC